GAAGCUGUGGAUGCUCCAUCCCUUGAGGUGUUCAAGGCCAGGCUGGAUGGGGCUGUGGGCAACCUGGUCUGGUGGGAGGUGUCCCUGCCCAUGGCAGGGGGGUUGGAAAUGGGUGGUCUUUAGAGUCUCUUCCAACACAAAACAUUCUGUAACUCUAAAAUAUCAAAGUCAGCAAACAAGCAAA